AUGCUUAAAAAAACAUUUAGGGUACUUGUUAAAAUGCAGAUUCCGUGCUUUCCCCCAGUUCUACUCAUCUCAUCCUCUGCCAGCAAGGCUGGGGAAUGUGCGUUUCUGACAAGUCCUCCCGAUGACUCCAGGCCGACCCGCUCAGCCUGUACCCCACAUCCCAGGCAGGUGUGGGGACAUGGAGCAGCCAUAGAGGAACCUUCCUGAACCGUGACACUACAGAUGUGUCGAGCAGCUUCGCCUUGAGCCUCAAAAUCACGAUCCCCUUGGAAGUGGCAUCCUCAGGGGCUGUGUACAUAUUCCUACAUUGGACCUUGAUUUUAUGUUUUCUCCUUACUCAGUUGGGUGGAUGAGCUUUAUAAAGCACUGGGACUGGCUUUGACCAAUGCGAAGAGACAGAAGGGAUGCUGUUCUGGUUCUGGGCUGAGGCCUGGUGUUCUCUGAGCCUGAGCCACCAUGUUGAGUCCAGGCUAUCCUGCUGGGCCGAGAGCCAGCCACCAGCCUCAAGGCCGUGAGGGUAUCUGGUCGACCUGGCUGACACCACAUGAACAGUCCUGAGACAGCGCAGCUGAGCUCUGCCCAAAGUCCUGGCCCACAGAAUUGGGAGCAAUAAAAUAGUUUUGUGGUUUAA